rnacentral:rRNA from 1 species
AAGGGCGAUGGCGACUGACCCUGGAGCACAUGCAAGUGAGUAUGCAGACAUGAGUAACGUUAAGCCGGGUGAAAUCCCCGGCCGCCGUAAACCCGAGGUUUCCAGGGCAACGUGUUUCGUCCCUGGGUUAGCCGGGACCUAAGCCGAGGCCGAGAGGCGUAGGCGAUGGACAUCAGGUUAAUAAUCCUGAGCUCGCAACCCUUAAACUGGGGGGACGCAUGAGAAAAGAUGACUAGGUUAUUGAAUUCCGAGUUGAGUCCACGGACUCAGCGCAUCAUUGGAUCGAGUGCCAAGAAAAGCCCCAGCGUAUGCUAAGCGACCCGUACCGCAAACCGACACAGGUGGGUGGGUAGAAUAUACCAAGGCGUAAGAGUGAAACCUGGUUAAGGAACUCGGCAAAUUAGCCCCGUAACUUCGGAAGAAGGGGUGCCUGCAGCGAUGCAGGCCGCAGAGAAAUGGCCCAACCGACUGUUUAUCAAAAACACAGCACUCUGCAAAGACGCAAGUCGAAGUAUAGGGUGUGACACGUGACCAAUGCCGAAAGAUUAAGGCAAGGGGUUAGCCGCAAGGCGAAGCUCUAAACCCAAGUCCCGGUGAAUGUCGGCCGUAACUAUAACGGUCCUAAGGUAGCGAAAUUCCUUGUCGGGUAAGUUCCGACCUGCACGAAUCGUGAAACGAGUUGGGCACUGUCUCAACCAGGCGCUCAGUGAAAUUGUAGUGGCGGUGAAGAUGCCGCCUACCCGCAGAAGGACGGAAAGACCCUAUAGACCUUAACUGUAAGCUGUCAUUGUUUCUUCGGUUUUAAUGCUCAGAGUAAGUGGGAGACGCUGAAGACGCCCUUUAGGGGGCGUCCGAGUCAUCAAUGAGACACCACCCUUUGAAACUGGAGGAUCUAACCCUGAGCCGUGAAUCCGGCCAGAGGACCGUGUCAGCCGGUCAGUUUUACUGGGGCGGUAUCCUCCCAAAGAGUAACGGAGGAGCGCGAAGGUGGGCUCAGCCCGGUUGGCAACCGGGUGUCGAGUGCAUGGGCAUAAGCCCGCCUAACUGUGAGACCAACAAGUCGAGCAGAUGCGAAAGCAGGCCCAAGUGAUCCGGCGGUAGAAAGUGGAAUUGCCGUCGCUCAACGGAUAAAAGGUACCUUAGGGAUAACAGGCUGAUCACGCCCAAGAGUUCAUAUCGACGGCGUGGUUUGGCACCUCGAUGUCGGCUCGUCGCAUCCUGGGGCUGGAGAAGGUCCCAAGGGUCCGGCUGUUCGCCGGUUAAAGCGGCACGCGAGCUGGGUUCAGAACGUCGCGAGACAGUUCGGUCCUCUAUCCUCUGUGGGCGUUGGAAAAUUGAGGGGUUCAGACCUUAGUACGAGAGGACCGGGUCUGACGCACCACUGGUGCAUCGGUUGUACUGUCAAGUGCAUGGCCGAGUAGCUAAGUGCGGACGGGAUAAGCGCUGAAAGCAUCUAAGCGCCAAGCCCUUCCCAAGAUGAGUUUUCCCUACAGGUUCGUGGAAGACCACCACGUUGAUAGGUCGCAGGUGUAAGUGCAGCAAUGUAUUGAGCCGAGCGAUACUAAUUACCAAUUGACUUCAUCAU